UGGCUACCGCUGCUCAAGAGACUGCUCACGAAGGAUAGCCAAAAUGGUUAUUAGCUAGCCAAAAUAAUAUGUGGCUGCUGUGUGGUGCAUAUGAGGAAUCUGCUACACAUCUAUUUUUUGAGUGUGCGUAUUUUCUCAGUAAUGUUUGCAAGGUGUGCUAACAUGGUUGAGAAAGGUUGGCAAAGGGAUCUUGUUGCACUAUCCCCCUACCCUUUUAGGAGGAUACUGGAGAGUAUUUAGAGGAAGGCAGUUAGGAACAUACAGGGGCGAGGAUGCAGAGAGCUCGUGUUGCACUUGGCAGCUCUCCGAUCAAACAAGAGUGCAC
rnacentral:lncRNA from 1 species